GUUAUCCCUAUUUUUAAUAGCUGACAUUAGUAUGGUAAGUCUGCCACAAUUAAUGAAUCAGUAUUAAUAGUUUAAUGUUAACUAAAGUCUGUGCUUUAUUCGGAUGUCUUUGGAUUUUCCCCUAAUGUCCUUUUUCUGUUCCAGGAUCCCAUCCAGGACACCACAUUACAUUUACUCAAUUUACUCAUCAUGUGACCUCGGACCAUUCUUGACUGUGACAUUUUGUAGCAUCCUUUUUAAUCCUGGGCUCCUAAGUUGACAGGCAUCAGGGCAUGUCGUUGGUUCCAGUUGUCUUUUGUAAUACACGCUUUGUCUACCUGGAGCUGGAGAGAAUGAGAACAAUAACACUGAGAAGAGAAAUAGAGGUAAAAGUGGUGUGGCCAAGAAUGGAAUUGAGAACACUGCCUCCAAUAAGACAAAACUAAAUAAGCCAAAUGGUGGAAUUUCAAGGCCUAUACACCGUGUCUGGGUUUCACGGGUGUUCAAAACAAGGUACAGUGUAAUGCAGGGAACUUGAAAAGCAGAGCGUUUGACCUCAGCAUCCUGAAAUCAGGUGUGAGAAGAAGAAAACAAGACACCUUGUAAUUAAGACAGAUCCAAGACCAGAUUAAUAAUAAAUAUGGCAGGAAACAUUGGGAAGUGUCACCCUAGAGGCCGAGCCAUGGAUUUUAAUAUGUAUCCUUUCAAUUAGCCGUUGACUCUGUGGACAUCCUUUCAUGCUUAAUGGAA